CACGCACCGUGCUAAGCCAUCCUCUAACCCUAGGGUACCCCUAACCCUGCCGCCAUGCGCACGACACAGCCGUGAACCGCCGCCUCCUCCUCCAAGCAAUCAAGCAUGGCGGCUCCUCCCUUUCCUCCCUAGUCCUCAUGGAGUGCCCACGCGUUUGUUCUUUUCGCCUAAAUCUUGCUUGCUUUUUCUUGCUUCCAUAGAGGGGAUCUGUUGCUUCAUGCUGCCAAGUGAUGCUGGGAUUAUUGCGCAAGGGCUUUGAGCAAUUCGUGGCUAGUUUCCGCCUAGUGCGAUGAAAUCACAACGCAUGAAGUUUUCCGCCCUCUGGUUCUGCGAGGAGAUAUGCAAGAAAGCAAGUACCUUGCGCCGUUCACUUCUGUUUGGUUUUUCUUUUCUUCCAAAGCUCUGAUAUUACAAAAAAAAUUCUCCCAAAACUAUUUUGAUCGAAAAGCGUCUCCUUUUUUUCUCAUUGCGGAGUUAGCGAUUCUUUUUUCAUUUCCAAGUGAUGGUGGGAUUACUGCGCAAGGGCUUUGAGCAAUUCGUGGGCACUUGUGUCCAACGCGGUGAUAUGAACUACAUGACAUCCCUUCUGAUGGCAA